rnacentral:misc_RNA from 1 species
GUUGAAGAACGCAGCGAAAUGCGAUAAGUAAUGUGAAUUGCAGAAUUCAGUGAAUCAUCGAAUCUUUGAACGCACAUUGCGCCCCCUGGUAUUCCGGGGGGCAUGCCUGUUCGAGCGUCAUUUCACCACUCAAGCCUCGCUUGGUAUUGGGCAACGCGGUCCGCCGCGUGCCUCAAAUCGACCGGCUGGGUCUUCUGUCCCCUAAGCGUUGUGGAAACUAUUCGCUAAAGGGUGUUCGGGAGGCUACGCCGUAAAACAACCCCAUUUCUAAGGUUGACCUCGGAUCAGGUAGGGAUACCCGCUGAACUUAAGCAUAUCAAUAAGCGGAGGA